CGAAAACCUUCAUUGAAUCAUAUCGCGAUCGAGAUAUACCGUUGCCGGAAUCUUUGAAGUGUAAUCGCCAUAAACUGAUCAUCGGCGGAGUCGUAUCUUCAAGAGGUAAUCAAUUUUCCUUUUGUUUGUGUGAGCUUUUUGGGAACCGAACCCUAGAUUAGGUAUCCAUGGGGAAAUGACUAGAACCCGGCGAUCGGCCAAAUUUCGUCGGAUUUGUAGGUUCCGAUGUUCGGAUUGUGUGUAUUGGGUAUAGAUGGUUGGAUUUGUGGGAUUUGUUUUGGUCCAUACGGAUUUGUGCAUUUUUAGUAACAUUUCUUUUUGAAUUAGGGAAAGCUUCUUUGUUCAAAUCGGAUUUGUAGGUUCUGAUGGUCGGAUUGUGUGGUAUUGGGGGUUAGAUGGCCGGAUUUGUGGGGUUUGUAGGUUCCAUGUCUUGGUGCGACUUGAGCAAUUAGUUUCAUUUAGGCUGUUGUAUUUUGUAUCCAGAUUAAGGCUGUGAUUGUGUUGCUAAGAUUUCUUUCUUUAGGUGAUAACAGAGAUAGUUCCUUUCUCACAUGAAGCUUACGACUUUAUCAAUGUCACGUCUUGAUUCUCUUUUUGUUGACUUUGACUGUUCAUUAUUUUAACUUCUCCUUGCAUAGGGCUUUGAUGAGUACAUGAAUUUAGUGUUUGAUGAUGCUAAGGAAGUGAGCAUCAAGAAGAAUACCAGAAAACCACUUGCUGAGUUAUUUGAAACUUCGGUUCACUGGGAACCAACUUUCUGGAAUCAUUCAAAUGAUAUAAUUAAUCUUCUUCGCAUGAAUUAUCAGGCCCUUCAUCAACACAAGUGGAGCUUGAUUGAUCAUCAAUGCAUAUGAAGCUACCAUUUUCAUUUGUUUUGUAGUUUGGUUCUGUCUCAAAAGGAUGAGAUACUAACCCAGAUGACUUAUUGGCAUACUUAUUGGGUGAUUUGAUUAAGGGAGCUGGCCGAAGAGUUCUUUGCCUUAUGUGGUUGUUGCAGUGAACUUUGAAGAAGAGUUCUGCAUAGGAGGUUUUGUAGGUUCUGAAAUCUGCAUGUAUGAUAACACAUGAUUUUGACCAUUUUUAUGGAUCACUUUCAGUAUCUUAUGUAGGUGUUUUCAUUCAGUUUUAAAGGUUUUACAAGUGUUUUCCAUGUUUUGGAGUUUUAAAAAGCUUUUCAAGAAACUGGGAACUUUGGAGUGCAUUUUGGAGCAUAUGUACAUUUUUGGAUAAAUUCAGGCCGUCAGAAGUUUGUCAACCAAUGAAGACCUUCUCAGCGUCCGAUCAUCCCCAAAUUUGGAGACAUUAUAGAGGAGACAACCAGCUUUCCAACACACUUGGAAUCAAAGCAAUCCAACGGUUAGAUCUCCAGAUAUCAUCAAUGCCCUGAAGGUCGAUCAACACAAGCCCAGUCAAGCACAAGUGCUUUCACCCGCGGCUUAGGAAGUUUCACCCCCGGUGGACCUAUGUCCGAACCUCAGGAGCCCAACUAAGGCCCAAGACACUUCCUACACCUAUUUUACAAGCCCUAGACGCCCAAGACUUGGAGAAACACUAUAAAUACUCAUUUUUAGGUCUUUUGUAAGGGAGCAUCUUUCUUCUCUUUGAGAGAAAACUCAUUUUUAGUUUUAAGUUUUAUUUUUAUGCAUUUGUAAAAGCUCUCCAUCGCCACUCUGUCUUCAAUAAGAGAAGUUUUUCUGCAACUUUUUUUCUUUUACUUUUCUUGUUCUUAGUUCUAAACCGAUGAUGAUAUCUACCUCAGCCAUGUCUGAGUAGUCACCUAGUUGGGUGAAAGGGUAAUUCAAAGGGACCCCAUGUUCGAGUGACAUCUAGGUUUUUAGGAAAAGGAUUUCGAUUUUUAACAUGAUUCUCCCAUUCAUCCAAAUCUCAAAGCGGUAAUUCUGAAUUGAUCACCCAGAAUCCGAUCCUAGGUUUAAUCCGAGCCACGAGAGUAUUGUAUCUAGGUUGCCUGAACUGGAUCUUAUGGAUGUCACCGUCGUAGGAGACGAAAGCUACCUACGGAGGAUACGUAAGCAGAGAUGGAUUCCGAUCUACAAAGCAUGAUCUUGUUCUGGCAUGAGAGCGAGAGAUAAUUGCCAUGAACAAGUGAU
rnacentral:lncRNA from 1 species